rnacentral:lncRNA from 1 species
GAGGACAUCUACUCUUCAUAGACUUGAUUGCCAACAUCCUCAUGAUCAUACUUCACUUCAGAAUAACCAUAGUCGUCAAGAUGACCAGACUCAUCAUAAGUACCAUUCUCUAGUGCCUUAGAGUUCUCAUAACUCCCUUGUUCUGAAAAACAACAUAAGUGCAGCUGAGUACGUAUAAAAUACGUACUCCGCAAAUCGCCGGGAAAAGUGGAUGCAUGAGUAUUUUUAAGAGGAAAAACUUUAUCGGCCACGGCUACCACCACCGAGCCAUUAGCUCAAAAUACUUUGUAGGUAAAAAAAAUUAUUUUCCCUUAACCCAUUUUGUUGAAAAUCAAAUUUUAUUUAUAAAAUCUACUGGCGACAGAGCGAUGUGGGAUCUUACAUCCUGUGUUAGAGGAAAACCCACACGACGCACUUCCAAACCCGGAAGCUGGGAGUGAUAUCACAUUUAUUCUGAUCAGAGGUGUACUGCUUUGCCCAUAGCAUCACUUGGUCCAAGUCGUCCAUGCGCUACCCGUGCGCACGACUAGACCAAGGAACCAGAACCUUUAACCAGCUCGUAGACUACCUCUGCUUUUCCACCUUGCCUUACUAUAGGCCCGCGGGCCGAGACCCCUGACCGGCGGUCCCGCCCUAGGGUGACUGUACCUACCCGGCUACAGCCACCUUCUCACCCAUGCAGAGGCAACUACUUGGCAUCGGUAGUCGGUUCAGCCCGUCCCAUUCCAGGCCUAUGGUCAGUACGGUUUGCGCCGCUUUUGACGUAAGCGCCAGUUAGUUGUGUCCUAAUGUGAUACCCUAUGUAGAGGAGUCUGCCAUCCAAGCCAACCCUACAUGGGUCGUCUUCACCAACAUGAGCUCCCAUACCCACCAAAUUUUUAGUUAUAAUGUAACCCUGCCCGGGUCACGACUACUUAAUACAGAUACUUCACCUGAUCUGGUCCAAUUGCCAAAUCAGUGGAUCCACCUGAUCCAAAUAUCAUUUUAUUUAUGAAAAGUAUUUAUUUUUAAUUCUUAUGCAAAAUUUUGGAAAUGACUCAUAGCCCGGAAAACAUUUAUGAAGACAUGAUCAAGGAGAUGACGACUUGCCGGGUAGCGCCCCGACCAACUCGAAACCACCAGAUGGGGGUCCUAUGGGUCUGAGAUCGACUCCUGAUAAUUAUUUCACAAAGAAGUUUAUAUUUUCCCUAAUCAAGAUCCAAGCAUCAAGAAACAAUUCCAUACGGUGCAAUCCAUUUUAAUUAAAGAGGCAAUGAUACAUGCUAGUGUGUAAUUAGAAGCAAAAUGCAUACAACACAUCAAGAAGUAGUACGCACACGCACAUCACAAAGAGCAAGCAAGCAAGCUCAAAAGGAAAAAUGUGUUUAGCUGGUCGAACCCAACCCCGGCAGAAAUAUCAUUUCUUUUUUCUCCAACUAGUCAUCUUACCCAGCUCUCUUCCUCUCUCUCACUGUCACUGGUAUGCAAAGCCACGAACAUAUCCAUCUCUCUCUCCGUAACUACAGAGCAGGCCGCCGCCGGCUCGAUCUGCCACUUCCGGCCAUCUCCGGCGACACCGCGGACACCCACAGAAUCCCCUCAACUCCCUCUACCAUAUACCCCCAUUUAUUUGAUCCGCCGCCGCCAAAAUCGCCGCCACCCUCAAACCCCAGCGCCGUCUGCAUCGGGUCCGAUGGGUUCACCACGGGCCGCAGCAGCAAUGGCAUCUCCCUACCUACAAACUCCUCCUGCAGAGCUGCACGCACGAGGCGUGCGACUAUGGCCGUCAGGCGUGACCAUCUUAACCGGUGCGGCUCUGGCAACAUGGCCGCUACAGACGCCCGGCUCGCCUUUGUCUACUGCUACUAGGGUAAGUGCCAGUCCAAAUUUCUCUCUGUGCAGUGUUCUUACCUUUGCUGCAAGUGUUUGUGCUAUGACUCCCCUUACUGCCAUGCUUCUUGUUAAUCUCAAGACCAAGGAAUUAAUCAAGCUUUACUCUAUGGUGUGGACGUGGUCUCCAGAUUUAUUCUAUAUUGUUUAUUCAAUUUUUAGCUCUACUACACUAUCCUCGCACUACUAUGAUUCUUUUUUAAUUAAGCUCAUAACUAGGAAUUAACCAGUGAAUUCCUACUGUCACCGACUUGAUUAAAAAGCGACAAGUUAAUUUCUUGUGAUGGUUAGGUGCUGCCACAAACUAAAUCUAAAUGUUGCUUCUACUGUGUGUGCGCGUGCACUCAUUUCUGCACCCUACAACAGUCAAGUGAACAUCGACAUUGAUCACUCAAAACAUUCUUAGAAAGGGGAUCAUGAAAGGGAAAAUAAGAGGAUGUCAGGAAUUUAUUUGUACAAGAUUUGCACAAAGUAUGUUUAUUUUUUUUUUCUGUUUUCAGAAUGAUGCAUGUGCAAAUGAGACAAGGCAAACAUUAGCCAAACAGUGUUCAAUACAACUAGGAAGGGAUCAUUAAGAUGAGUAGCAUACACAGGAAGCUUGAGCUAUUAGCUGUACAUGUAAAUCUUAGCAAGUUAAUAUUUGGGAUUUAAUUCUCAGCAUGACAUGUCUAUUAUAUACAUAGAUCUAGUACAAGACAGAGAUGGACAUGCACAGUACACAUGCAUCACUUAACCACCAUGUACUAAUUUGUCUUCAUCUAAUAUAUGUGCUUUCUUUUUCUAACCAUCAUUCUUCUUUUUACAGAGUAACUAGAGUCCAAAAGAGCAGGUGUUCAUGUUCUAAGCAAAGGUGAAGAUGGAUCAAGCAAACAAAGCUGCAAAAGCAAGGCACUUGAAUAGUACCUGAUGGCAACUCAGCAUCCGACCAAAAGAGUGGAUGGGGAUGGUGGGGAGAGCUUGGUUCUCUCUUGUGCGUGUUGUGUGCUGUAGAGGAAGUCAAAGGUGAAAGGAGGAGGCUGCUAUUUAUAGUAGUGUAGGGUGCUAGGUCGGUUUGGUAAAAGAGAGAUGUGGCUGACAUGCCUGGUUGCAUGAGCAUGCAAGCCUCCACAUGUAAUCAUGUGAGUUGUACAACGGACAAGUGUAUAGUGCAUGGUUGGACACGAGUUGGCAUAUACUUUGUGUGUAAGGAAUGAGACAAGGGCCUAAUUGUAAAUCUGCAAACUAUAAGGGAGUUGGAGAAGAACCAAUGUACAUGGCUAAAUACUAACUUUUUUUGUUGCAAUAAAUUUUUGAUAUUAGUGUUGUGGUUAAUU